CAGCUGCGGAGUGAACUGGGAAGAUUUGCAAUUAAAAAAAAAAAUUAUGUGUGAGGUUCCCGAUAUAGUAUUUCAAAGAGCACACCCGCCAAAUCCAACAUCCCCUAGGAGGCUGACUUGAAAAAAAAAAAAAAAAAAAAAAAAACCGCGCCGGGCUCCCCUCGCCCCCGCAAGCUCGGGGCGGAGGCGGGGAGGCAGGUGGUCCAGGUGCGCCCCUGCCCCGGGAGCGAGGCAUCCGGCGGGAGGGUGGCAGCGACCACACAGAGGAAGGGGCGGCAGGUGCGCGGCGCUGGAAGAACCGGCGGCUGGGAGAGCAUCUCUGCCUCGCCCAUCAUGCCCCCUCCUCACCUCCGCCCUGGCGUUGGGACCGGAGGAGGAGGGAGGAAUAGAACCAGGGAGUCCGAAGUACACCUUUGACAACUGUCGAGCUAGCCGGGUCAAAGGACUGCAGCCAAAGGACUCAGCAGCUGGAGUACCCCUGUGAAGCACUCCACAUGAGGGUGGAUGGAGGAUUUUGUUUGUUUCCUUGACAAAGGAUCAGCAGAUCUGUUUUCACUACCUCAAGGUACACAGCCCCAAACACUGCCCAUCCCCAGCUGCCCAUGCACAUCCUGCCUGUUGGAGAAACCAGGACAGAGAUGAGCAUUUCUGUCCCAAUUCCAGACUCCCCCGAGAGAUUCUGAUCGGCCCAGCUUAGGUCAGGGGAUAGUCUUCACUCAAGAGUUCCUGAGAUAACAGAGACUGGAGUAACAGGCAUUGCAGAACUGAUUUUAUAAAUGAAGAACGUGUACCACACAUAUUGCUAGUUAAAAGCAUGUAUACUGUUGAGUUCUACCUCCUCAGAAGUCUAGAAGGUUUCCUUCCUUUGAGGGUGAAGAAGCAGUAACAGGCGUCCUCCAUCAGACCCCUCUCUGUGGGCACCUAGAACACUUCCCGUUGACGUCUGCUUCAAGAGGAGGUCACUAAAAGUGCCCCACAUGACGCAGCAGACACUCCGCUGGUCCCAGUGCCCUCUCCAAGACCUUCCAGAUGGUGAAGUGUUAAGAGUCUAAAAUGGAGUAAAUGAUCUGCAGAAAUUCGGUGGUGUCAGAGGAGCCAGUCCAAAGUCACUCGGCUCUAAAACGCAGUGAUUCUGAUUUUAAUGAUGCCCAGGAACAUAACGCGGCACGAGAGACCCAGAGGCGAGCGUGCAGCUGCCAGGAGAGCAGCUGGCAGGGCUGCGGGGGGCUGCUGGCCGGCCGGGCCCCAGUGGGAGGAGGCGCGGGGGAGGUGCGGGAGGAGGAAGAGCGCUGUGUGAGGGCGGAGCCGCGGUGGCCUGUGCGCUGCAGUCUGUUGCGCUCGACUUAUUAGCUUGGCACGCGGAUAGAAAAAUGUACGUUUGAAUCUAUUUCUGGUUUUCAAAUGUGUGAAGAAAACACAUAACUUUAUUAUUUUAUUUUUGUAAAGUUAAAGACAGGGACAGAUGCCCCUAAAGCGUAUGCAUUCUGUAAGAAAUUCCUAUUUGGUGGCGCAUCUUUGGAAGCAAAAAUCAAGGACAAAUAGGUCAUCUCUAAGUUUUCUGCAGGAAUAUUGGCAAUAAAAAGAAUAGAGUCAACACUGGUAACUAAUGGAGAUGAGGGAAAUACAAUCUGGGAAGAUGUUAAGGUUCUUUUUUUUUAAAGAACUUUUAAAGGAAAAACAAUGAAGUAAGUGUUGAUGUAAUAUGAAUAUGUUAUUACUUGUUAAGUGCCAAAAAUACUGCAGAUAUAAAUAAUCUUUUAACAUGUAGUCAAGAAACAUUUGAACACUUAUAGAAAUUCCCUCACCAGAGGUGUUUGGAAAUCUUAAAAUCUUAAUAUACUUUUGUGAAUGGUCAGAGUAAAUCAGAAAUCAAAGAAAUCUGGAAAAAUAAAAACACAUUAUCCAUGCAACAAAAGCAUUGCUAGAAGGGGUUGUUAUCAUAAAUAGAACUCCAACUGGAGUGCCAUAUAGUCAAAGAAAAGUCUUAUAAAGCAAAAAAAUGCAAGAUUUAUUUACUCAAAAAGUGUUGUUGAGCACGUGCUAUGUGCCAGGCACGGUGCUAAGCAUGGGACGACACGGGAAAAGAAAACGGAUGUUGUCCCUGCAUGCAUGUCCCUCCCCAGGCUUUUGGCUGUGCAGAGAAAGUACCAUAACUGCCAAAUAAGUAAAUAGUUGGAUGGGGCCUAAGAGAUCAGUGUGACAUAAAACAAGUGUAGAUGGUAAUCCAUUUCAAAAUACUCUUUACAGACUUUUCAGUAUUCCUAUGAUUUUCUGGAAAUGUGACAGGAAAUCAAAUAAUUUUUUUUUUAAGAGCAGAGGUCCAAUUUUCAAUAUGUAAUCCAGUUCCUUUCAGGAAGUGUUAAUCAUGUGAUUCCUAUUAGAAUUAAAAACAGUCAUCAUCCUGUAAUACUGACCAUCUGUUUCAGAUAUGGCAGGCACACUUGGGAAACCCAGAAUAAUGGGAACUCAAAACUAUUAUUCAUUCGAGAGCUUAUCAGUCCAAGAAGAUGCCACCUUGGUCAGAUGUGGAUGAGGCAUGACUGGACCGACCCUAUGGGCUCUGCACCCACCUGUGCUAUAAACUGUUGAUGUGAUAACUGUGUGUCCCUGGGUUGUCUGACCUGCAGCUGUACUACACUUUUAGUACAAUGCCUGCCACCCACAAGAGUGUUGUCACCAUUGAAGUGAAUGCUAUAAAGCAUUGUGAGCAAUCCAAAAGAAGGGUGCUGCUUAACUACCCAAAAUCAUUAUACACCCACAGGUAAAGCUCUCUCUCUCUCUCUUUUGACACUCUUAAUAUGGUAAUAUAAAAGGGCAUUCCUCAGGGUGCAUUUAAAUGUCUGUGUGUGUUUCAUUCCAUUUGUUAAUCAUUUUAACUUUUAAAUUAAUUAGUAUUUUCAGGAUUUUAUCCUUGCACUAAAGGAAACCCAUUAAUUUAAUGAUUCUAGGUCACUACUAUGGACUGAAUAUUUGUGUCCCCCAGAAAUUCAUAUGUUGAAAUCCUAACCCUCAUUGUGCUGCAUUGGGAGGUGUGGCUUUGGGGAGGUGAUUAGGUCAUGAGGACAGAGCCCUCAUGAAUAAGAUUAGUGCCCUUAUAAAAGAGACCCAGAGCGCUCUCUUACCCCUUUCUGCCAUGUAAGGACUUAGUCAGAAGACCACAGUUUAUAAACUGGUAAGUGGGUCCCUACCAGACAUUGAAUCUGCAUUUUAAUCUCAGACUUCCCAGCCUCCAGAAUGGUGAGAAGUAAAUGUAGUUUAAGCCACCCAGUCUAUAGUAUUUUUGUUAUAGCUGCCUGAAUGGAGUAAGACAGUCACCAUGUUUGAAAAAGAGACAUAUUUGGGUCUCUAGAAGCUGCCUGUCUGUUAAUUUAUGACUAAAAUUAAUUUGUUCAUGAUUUCCUCUCUAAAUCUAGAUUAUUUGGCCAUGUGUCAGAAACACAUGUUUGGGAAUUUAUUUGGCUAGAUGACUUGGAUUGAAGCCUCAAAAUUUAAAAAGAAAAGACAAAAAGCACAACUAAACAGAAGCUAAUCAAUGUAAAUACCUGACAGUGUUGAAGCAGCCAGGGACGAUGGUGGCCUAAAGCGUCAUCGAUAGCUGUCUAGCUAUCUUUUUCUGUAUAGCUCGCUUUUUCUUUUCCUUUCUUUCUUUUAUAAAAUAACAGCUUUAUUGAGAUAUAAUUCGCAUAUCAAAAAUGCAUCCUUUCAACGUGUGCAAUUCAGCGUUCUUAGUACAUUCACAAAGUUGUGCAACCAUUGACACCAGUUCCAGAUUAUUUUCAUUAUCCCAAAAAGAAGCCCUAUGCUUAUUUGCAGUUACCCCCAUUCCCCUUUUCUGGAGCCCCUGGAAACCAUUAAUCUAUUUUCUGUCUCUACAGACUUGCCUAUUCUGUACAGUUUAUAUAAAUGGAAUCAUAUAUUAUGUGGAUUCUUUCAUUCAGUGUAAUUUUUCAAGGUCCAUCCAUCUUUAUUCAUUUUUAUGGCCAAAUAUUCCAUUGUAUGGCUAUAACACAUUCUGUCUAUUCAUCAGCUGAUGGACAUUUGGGUUGUUUCCACAUUUUAGCUAGUAUUAAUCAUGUUCUAUGAACAUGAGUGUACAAGUUUUUGUGUAGACAUGUUUUCAGUGCUCUUGGGUGUAUAGCUAGCACUGGCAUUGCUAGGCCAUAUGGGAACUCAAUGGUUAACUUUUUGAGGAACUGCCAAGCUAUUUUCCAAAGUGACUGAAUCAUUUACAUUCUCACCAACGAUAAAUGAGGAUUCGGAUUUCCCCACAUCCUUGUCAACACUUUUUAUUGUCUAUCUUUUUGAUGAUAGAUGACUUAAUAUAUGUGAAGUGGUAUCUUGUGGUUUUGGUUUGCGUUCCCCUAAUAACUAAUACUGUUGAGAAUCUUUUCAUGUGAUUACUAACCAACCUUUCUUUGUCUCUCCUUCAUCCCUACUAUUUCCAGCCUCUGGUAACCAUGAAUCCAC